AGUGAGAAGACCAAACCAGCUCUUGCAAAGAAAUAAAGAAAUGGCUCAAUUCUUUAGAUUAAUUUUGUGUCUUCUCCAAUGAUUGUUUUAGAAGCUGAAAUUCACAAAGAAAACGCCAAAGCAGCUUCAUCAAAGAAAGAGUCCAAGGAAACUCAGGACGAAGCCAAACCAGAGCCUUCAAAAGAAGAUGCUGAAGCAAAAGAAAAGGCCAAAUUAACUCCAGAAAAAGAAAG